GGCAGGGUUAGCAGGCUGAUAUUGUCGGGCGGGGUGUGGAACAAGUAAGUCAUUUCGGCGAUGAGAUCAGCCUGUCGAACCCUGC
rfam:Apis mellifera strain DH4 linkage group 4, whole genome shotgun sequence.